rnacentral:rRNA from 1 species
GAUGAACGCUGGCGGCGUGCUUAACACAUGCAAGUCGAACGGAAAGGCCUUUCUUGGGUGGGGUGCUCGAGUGGCGAACGGGUCAGGAAUACGAGCUUAACCUCACCUGGGGUUUGGGCUAACUUAAGUAAAUUGGUGCUCAUUCCGGAUAGUAGCUCGCGCCGUUUGGUAGUGGUUAGUAAGUUUGGGCUGGUGGGGAUUGCCUCGCGGUUUGUCAUCUUGUUGGUGGAGUCAUGGCUUACCAAGGGUUUGUAGGGUACCCGGCCUGAGAGGGUGACCGGCCACAUGGGGACUGGGAUACGGCACGGAGUCGUAAGGGAGACAGGAGUGGGGAAGAAUGACCGAUGGGCGGAAGCCUGAUGCAGCAACGCCGCGUGCGGGAUGACGGCCUUCGGGUUGAAGACCGCUUUCGCGUGUAACGAAGCGUGAGUGACGGUACUGGGUAAAGAAGCACCGGCUAACUACGUG